rnacentral:lncRNA from 10 species
AGGCAGCGCUCCCGGCGGGGCGCCCCGCUCUGCGCCGUUCCCUCCGCCGUCGCCCAGCCACCGCCUUUCGCACGCGCCGGAACCGCUUUUGUGGUCUCCGAGACACUCAUUUGCUGUCCUGGUUUCCAAAGCUCCACGUGCUCAGCGCCGAAAACUUGCAAAUCAUUUGCUGUCUAUACUGGGCGCCCGCUGCGUGCCAGGUACUGCCACCGGCUCUCUCCUCACGGUGGAAUAACUUAACAGAGAAGACAGACAUCAAUCAAAUACCCUGGAAACGUGGAAGGCAGGGGAAAGAACAAAGGGAGAGCAAAAUCGCCCCAAUCCCACAUCACCCGCGACGUGAAAGGAUUUGUCCUUCCAGCUGCGGGACUCCUAUUUGUUUAUUUCAAGUCAGAGGCCUUCCCUUUAUGCCCACAUCUGUUCCCGACCCUCUCCUCUGAUUUUCCUCACAUGUAUUUCCUCCCCUCUUCAGCCCCGCGCCAGCUCCAGGCACAGCCGUUCAGGGUGAUGCCAAAGGGAAAUGAGAACGCCUGGUUUCGAGUGCCAGCCUGAGGCCCCUUAAGCCCUAGCCUGGCUCCAAAAACUGCAGCCUGUUUCCCUCAACAAAAAUGACGUCAAGAAUACCUAGAUGUGACCACACCGAACUUGCUUGCCCGUUUUGGGAAACCCAACUUUCUUCCUGAAUAGUCAGAACCUCUGGCUUUCCUGGUCUCU